GAUGAACGCUGGCGGCGUGCCUAAUACAUGCAAGUCGAGCGAACAGACGAGGAGCUUGCUCCUCUGACGUUAGCGGCGGACGGGUGAGUAACACGUGGAUAACCUACCUAUAAGACUGGGAUAACUUCGGGAAACCGGAGCUAAUACCGGAUAAUAUAUUGAACCGCAUGGUUCAAUAGUGAAAGACGGUUUUGCUGUCACUUAUAGAUGGAUCCGCGCCGCAUUAGCUAGUUGGUAAGGUAACGGCUUACCAAGGCAACGGUGCGUAGCCGACCUGAGAGGGAGAUCGGCCACACUGGAACUGAGACUGGGUCCAGACCCCUACGGGAGGCAGCAGUAGGGAAUCUUCCGAAAUGGGCGAGAGCCUGACGGAGCAACGCCGCGUGAGUGAUGAAGGACUUCGGAUCGUAAAACUCUGUUAGUUGUGAAGAACAAAUAUGUAAGUAACUAUGCACGUCUUGACGGUACCUAAUCAGAAAGCCACGGCUAACUACGUG
rnacentral:rRNA from 1 species